CGCCUAACAGCUAGCCUCCACAAUCAAAUUUUACUAUUAUGGAACUAAUAACUCAUAAUACAUAUAAAUAAAUCAUUUUACCCCCAAGUACGGGCGACAGAAAAGGAAAAAAGAGCGAUAGAUAAAGUACCGCAAGGGAACGCUGAAAAAGAAAUGAAACAAACCAUUUAAGCCCUAAACAGCAGAGCUAACCCCUCGUACCUUUUGCAUCAUGAUUUAGCAAGUAAACCACAAGCAAAGAGCCCUUUAGUUUGUGACCCCGAAACUGAGCGAGCUACUCCAAGACAGCCUAUUUUGGGCAAACCCGUCUCUGUUGCAAAAGAGUGGGAAGAGCUUUGAGUAGAGGUGACAAAUCUACCGAGCACAGUUAUAGCUGGUUGCCUGAGAAAUGAAUAAAGUUCAGCCCUUUAAGUCUUUCCCUAAUCACCCACGCUCUAUGCUAUUAAGACCAAGGAAACUAAAGGAGUUAGUCAAAAGGGGAACAGCCCUUCUGACAAAAGAAACAACUUUAAUAGGUGACCCAAGAUCAUAUUAUAAAAGGACUGUAGAUUAAGUGGGCUUAAGAGCAGCCAUCUUAAAAGAAAGCGUUAUACCUCGAAUUAAUUACUACCCCUUUAUUCUGAUAACAUAUCUCCCUCCCUAAUCCCCUAUCAGGCUGUCUUAUGCCACCAUAAGAACAAUUAUGCUAAAAUGAGUAAUAAGAAGAACUAUGCUCUUCUCCCAGCACAUGUGUAAGUCAGAACGGACUCUCCACCGACUAUUAACCGACCCCAAACCCAGAGGGCAAUAAGUUUAAUAAACAAGAAAAACACUUAUUUUAAAUCGUUAAUCCAACACAGGUGUGCCUUAAGGAAAGACUAAAAGAGAAGGAAGGAACUCGGCAAACACAAGCCUCGCCUGUUUACCAAAAACAUCGCCUCUUGCUCACUAAGUAUAAGAGGUCCCGCCUGCCCAGUGACUACAUGUUUAACGGCCGCAGUAUUUUAACCGCGCGAAGGUAGCGUAAUCACCUGUUUUUUAAAUGAAGACCUGUAUGAAUGGCUCAACGAGGGCUUAACUGUCUCCCUCCUCCAGUCAAUGAAAUUGACCUCCCCGUGCAGAGGCGGGGAUAUUUACAUAAGACGAGAAGACCCUGUGGAGCUUUAGACCUAAAAUAAGUCACGUUUAACAUUCUGUUACACCAGUAAAAACUCAGCGACGAUUAUUGAAGUGUCUUCGGUUGGGGCGACCCUGGGGAAAAACACAACCCCCAUGUGGACUGGGAAUACUAUUCCUAACACUCAGAGCCUCUACUCCAAGUAACAGAAAUUCUGACCUUUCUGAUCCGGUAAUAACCGAUCAACGAAUCAAGUUACCCCAGGGAUAACAGCGCAAUCCCCUCUAAGAGCCCUUAUCGACGAGGGGGUUUACGACCUCGAUGUUGGAUCAGGACAUCCUAUUGGUGCAACCGCUAUUAAGGGUUCGUUUGUUCAACGAUUAAAGUCCUACGUGAUCUGAGUUCAGACCGGAGUAAUCCAGGUCAGUUUCUAUCUAUGACAAGCUCUUUUCCAGUACGAAAGGACCGAAAAAAGGAGGCCUAUGCUAAAUGCAUGCCCCACCCUUAACCGCUGAAACAUAAUAAAGUGGAUAAGAGGGCUUUUAAAGAUCCCAAAAAGUAUGGGAAU
rnacentral:rRNA from 1 species